GACAGAGGGUGCAAACGUUGUUCGGAUUUACUGGGCGUAAAGCGCGUGUAGGCGGCUUGGCAAGUCGGAUGUGAAAGCCCACGGCUCAACCGUGGAAGCGCAUCCGAAACUGCUUCGCUCGAGUCUCGGAGAGGAAGGUGGAAUGCUUGGUGUAGAGGUGAAAUUCGUAGAUAUCAAGCAGAGCACCUGCGGCGAAGGCGGCCUUCUGGACGAUGACUGACGCUGAGACGCGAAAGCGUGGGGAGCAAACAGG
rnacentral:rRNA from 1 species